CAGAAGAUAGUUUAAACAAAACCCUAACUUUGGGAGUUAGUAAUUAACUACAGUUAUCUCCUGAA
rnacentral:tRNA from 1 species